AUAAAGCUACAUUCUAAUCAUUUUUCUAAAAAAAAUUAUAAAUUUGUGAGUAUAUUAUUGGUAGUUAAGUUGGUAACGAAUGUCAAAUGUGAGACUGGUAAAUUUAUAAUUUAGUCACUUAAUUAUAAGUAAGUUUACAAUUUGGUCAUUUAAUUUCAAAAGAUUAUAAGUUUAUUUUUUAACAAUUCGUAACUUUACAAAUUUACACUUUGGUCACUCAAUCUUCACACCAUUACUCUCUAACCUAAUAGUCCAA
rnacentral:lncRNA from 1 species